rnacentral:ncRNA from 1 species
UUAGUAGGCUUAUACAUGCAAGUAUCCGCCAACCAGUGAAAAUGCCCUUCCACUCAUUCAUUUCAAUGAUUUACAAAGGAGCCGGUAUCAAGCCCACUAUAGUAGCUCAAGACACCUUGCUUAGCCACGCCCCCACGGGAUACAGCAGUAAUAAAAAUUAAGCAAUAAACGAAAGUUUGACUAAGCCAUACUAACAGAGAGUUGGUUAAUCUCGUGCCAGCCACCGCGGUCAUACGAUUGACUCAAGUUAAUAAGACCCGGCGUAGAGUGUGGUUAAAUGUACUCCCCUAAUAAAGUUAAAUCUAUUCUUAGCUGUAAAAAGCACAAGAAUUAAAUAAAAAUAUACCACUAAAGUGACUUUAAGGACAAAUGAACCCACGAUAGCUAAGAUACAAACUGGGAUUAGAUACCCCACUAUGCUUAGCCCUAAACCUCGAUAAUUAAUAACAAAAUUAUCCGCCAGAGAACUACAAGCCACAGCUUAAAACUCAAAGGACUUGGCGGUGCUUUAUACCCCCUAGAGGAGCCUGUUGCAUAAUCGAUAAACCCCGAUAGACCACACCAUCACUUGCCAAAUCAGUCUAUAUACCGCCAUCUUCAGCAAACCCUUAAAAGGAUCAAUAGUAAGCUUAAACGUAACCACAAAAACGUUAGGUCAAGGUGUAACCUAUGUGAUGGGACACAAUGGGCUACAUUUUCUACCCAAGAACAGACACGAACUUCUAUGUGAAAGCAUAGAAUGAAGGAGGAUUUAGCAGUAAGUCAGGAAUAGAGAGCCUGACUGAACCAGGCCAUGAAGCACGCACACACCGCCCGUCACCCUCCUCAAGCAUUUAAGACUAAAAAUCAUAUUUUACUAACCCGAAUGCAAGAGGAGACAAGUCGUAACAAGGUAAGCAUACUGGAAAGUGUGCUUGGAUUAUC